GCAGCAGAUGAUCUGUUUUACUGAUACAGAUUGCAGGAUAUAAAUUGGACAGGAUAUAUAUGGGACAUAUAAGCCAACAAAUUUCAUGACGUACAAGUGCGUGGAACGGGCUGCUGGCAAUGGUGGUGGAGGCGGAUACGAUAGGGUCUUUUACGAGACUUUUGGAUGGGUACACGGAGCUUAGAAAAAUAGAGGGCUCUGGGUAAGCCUCGUAAUUUCGAAGAAUUCUACUAAUAACUUCGCUGCUCUUGAUAAGGUGUAUAAGAUUAUGUGAAGCGCGGACAGCCAGCACCUUUUCCCCCGGGCGGCAAUGGCCAAUACCAGAGGACAUCCGUUUAAGCUGCAGAGAGUCGUGGACUCAGCCCAAGACAUCACGGGCACACCCCUCCCCACCAUCGGUAGUGUCUACAGGAGGCGCUGCCUCAAGAAGGCGAUGUCUAUCAUCAAAGACCCCCACCAUCCGGGCCGUGCCAUCUUCUCGCAGCUAUCGUCGGGCAGGAGGUACAGAAGCCUGAAGCCCCACACCACCAGUUUCAGGAACAGCUACUUCCCUUUAACCAUUCAGUUCUGCACAACCCAAAUCACUACCUCAGUACAGCAACACUGUGACCACUUUGCACCACAUUGGACUUUGUUUUUUAUUCGCUCUAAUUGUGCCCAAGAAGAGCAGGGUGAGCUGCCUCAACGGCUAUCACCCGGCAGCACUCACAUCUACUGUGCUUUGAGAGGUUGGUCAUGGCUAGGGUUAACUCCUGCCUGAGCAAGGACCUGGACCUGCCGCAGUUUGCCUCCUGCCACAACACGCCUACAGCGGAUGCAAUCUCACUGGCUCUCCACUCGGCUUUGGAGCACCCAGACAGCAGCAAAACAUACGGCAGGCUGCUCUUUAUCGAUUACAGCUCGGCGUUCAACCUCCCGAUUCUGUUCUUUCUUGUAGAAUUUAUGUUUGAUUUAUGCUUUUCCUGUGAAUGUUGCAUCUGUAACGCUAUGUACCAGUGAUGCUGCUACAAUUAAGUUUUUCACUGCACCAGUGCACACAUUUGAUUCUACCACUUAUCCACACACCAGGAGCAACUUACAGCAGCCAAUUACCCGACUGACCCUGAAAUGUGGGAGGACACUGGAGCAUACGGAGGAAACCCACGUGGUCACAGGAAUACAUGCCAGCUCUCAACACAGUCCCCUCAGUCCCAUUACUCCAGGUAUCUCCCUGUAACCUCUUCCCCCUCCUGUUUCCCAUCAACCGUGUCCCCCCUCCCCCCAGACUCUCGUACCAUCUACCUACACGAGGGGCAACUUACGGCCAGUUAGCACGUUUUUGGGAUGCAGGAGGAAACCGGAGCAAGCCCUCGGUCACAGAGACGAUGUGCAAACUCCACACAGAGGUCAGGAUUGAAUGCGGGGCGCUGGAGCUGAGACAGUGGCUCUACGAACGUGAGACUCUGGCUCCACUUUCCACUUCCUCUCAAAUCACAAACUAAACCACCAAAGUCUGUACGUUAGUUAAAAACAAAAGCAAGUUGCUGCAAGGUCUAUAACACUGUGACAGGCUGGCCAUCUCCGCCAAAAGAUUGUGGCAUCUCAUCUCUCCAAUACAGCACAGGUACAUCAGCUGAGAUUUUUGUGCUCAGGUUUCUGGGGUUUGGCAUGAACCUCUGAUGGCUACAAAUCGUAUCAUAACAUACAGAUCAGAAACAAAACAGCUCCCAUCACAGCAUGCAGCUGCUCUACCUUGCGGUGGGCUUUAUGUUGGGUGCAUCUUAGAGAGACUAAGGGAGCUAGGGCUUCACUCUUUGGAGAGGAGGAGGAUGAGGGGAGACACGAUAGAGAUGUACAAAAUAUUAAGAGGAAUAGAUAAGAGUAGAUAGCCAGUGCCUCUUUCCCAGGGUACAAGAGGACAUGGCUUUAAAGUAAUGGGUGGGAAGUUCAAGGGAGAUAUCAGAGGAAGGUUUUUUUACCCAGAGAGUGGUUGGGGCAUGGAAUGCGUUGCCUGGGGUGGUGGUGGAGGCAGGUACAUUGGUCAAAUUCAAGAGAUUGUUAGAUAAGCAUAUGGAGGAAUUUAAAAUAGAGGGAUAUGUGGGGGGAAGGGGUUAGCUAGUCUUAGGCGAGGUUUAAAGGUUGGCACAACAUUGUGGGCCGAAGGGCCUGUAUUGUGCUGCACUAUUCUAUGAUCUUUGGCACUUGCACACGGCUAUAUAAAUGCAAGUCUUUGCUCUUUUGUUUUCACUUGCAACUUCCAAACACUACGAAUGACUGCAAAUUAAAAGGAAACUCAAGCAUGUGUGUGCAUGAUGUGGCCCGCUUCUGAUGCACAUUCAGCCUGCUGGCCUCUGUAUGUACAAAAAAAAUGGCAAGAUACCAAUUCCCCCACACUCCAAAAACGUAUGGGUGCAGCAAAAGUUGCAAGUCACGUCCCAGCCUUCCGCACCACUUUCUGAGCACCAUGCAAACGUCUGCAUUGGAAACCCCGCACCCUCUGGCUCACCCACAAAACCCUGCAGCAGGCACUAAGGUGGAAUAUUCAAAUGCAUUCGGUGGGAGGCUGCAGAUGAGUUGCUGGGGGCAGGCGCAGUUUGCAAAGUGCUGAUGAAUCCCGUUGCUCCGGAAUCCUGCUCACUCUCAGCACUGGAUGGGGUGAGGUGGGGAUAUGC